rnacentral:rRNA from 1 species
UGCGUAGGCGGACUGGUAAGUCAGUGGUGAAAUCUUUCGGCUCAACCGAGAAACUGCCAUUGAAACUGUCAGUCUUGAGUCAGGUAGAGGUAGGCGGAAUGUGUAAUGUAGCGGUGAAAUGCUUAGAUAUUACACAGAACACCGAUUGCGUAGGCAGCUUACUAGACCUGCACUGACGCUGAUGCACGAAAGCGUGGGGAGCGAACA